GUCAAAAUUGAAUUCAGCUAAUUCGCCAACCCAUCGUAGUCCCGUACUGUUCAAUUUCGCGGUGGUAAGGACAUAGGUCAAGGGAUUAUUGUCAGUGCAUGUAGACCAGGAACUUUGGAACAUAAUAUAGGUAGUCUCGGAAGUGUUCUGUUACCGCCCAUUUCAAGGCUAAAAAUUCCAACUUCCCUGAGUGCAAAUGGUAAUUUUUCUCGGAAGGGCUUAAUGCUCUUGAUGCAUAUGCGAUAACUCGUAGGAUUCCAUUUUGCUCUUGAUAUAAGACUGCCCCCAGGCCUUCCUGUGACGCGUCGGUGUGAACAACGAAAGGCAACUCAUAAAUCGGGUACGCUAGAAUAGGAGGGGAUGUGACCUCGUUUAAUAGAUUUUCUAAUGCUGAUUGGUGAAUUGAAGUCCAUUCCACGGAUGUACGCGAUGACAGUUGGCUUCGUUUUCCUGAUAGUGCUGAUUUUCC
rnacentral:lncRNA from 1 species